CAAUAGCGUAUAUUAAAGUUGUUGCGGUUAAAAAGCUCGUAGUCGAAUAUCUGGCCGGGAAAACCGAACUUCGUUUGGAGCUUUCCUAGGCCAUCCGCCUGAAAAAUUAGUGAUCGUUAAUAGCCUUUGCUUAUGGAUCAGGCACUUUACUUUGAAGAAAUUAGAGUGUUUCAGGCAGGCUAUCGCUUGAAUACACCAGCAUGGAAUAAUGGAAUAGGACUUUCAUCAGUUACUGGUUAAGUAGAGUUGUUUAGUUAAGUAGUAAUUAAAGGUAACGGGAACGUAGGGGGUUGGGGGGACGUACGUUUACCGUUUACGUUUACGAACGUACGUA
rnacentral:rRNA from 1 species